AUGGGAUUAUAUAGUUUGCAUGAAUCCCUUCAUCAUGAGGUCACCAAGCUUCUUUUCGGAUUUUUCUGGGCUAGAGAGAAUAAUAAACAGAAGUACCACAUGGUGAAGUGGUCUGAGAUUUGUAAGCCCAAGGACCAAGGGGGCCUUGGGGUCAUCUCAUCCAAGCGGAUGAAUAUCGCCCUCCUCUCCAAAUGGCUCUGGCGUAUUCAGACCUGUGAGGGAGGCCUGUGGUUGGAGAUUAUUCGCGCGAAGUACCUUCGCGGGCAACCGUUGGCCUUCGCCUCUCGCUCUGGAGGAUCCCAAUUCUUGCAAGCGGUGAUCCGUCUGAUGAUGAUUUUGUGUAUUGGGACUUCCAUUAAAGUGGGCACCGGAUCCGGCACCUUGUUUUGUCUUGAUAGGUGGGCCGGGCACCGGCCCUUUGCAGAACGCUUUCACGCGUUAUUCUUUAUUUGUGCCCAUCCACAGCUUUCUGUGGCUGUGGCUCUAACUGACUUGGGAGCUAUUGCCUUCCGCCGCACCUUCGGCGACGGAGCGCGAGCAAUGGGACGAAUUGCUUGCAUGUAUUGCCCUUCACCCGCCCUUCCUUGA
rnacentral:rRNA from 1 species